GUACUUAGCUGGCGGAGGAGAUAACCAUGAUCAUGAAGGUGGCGUUCGCAGGCUGAGGCCUAUCCCUCGCACGCCGGAUGUGCCGUCCCCUGCGAGCUCCCCAAAUGUGGGAAACUCGACGGCAUAAUUUGUGGUAGUGGGGGACUGCAUUCAUGCUCUCCUAUU
ensembl:snRNA U1 U1 spliceosomal RNA